UUCUGUGGAACACAAAAGGAAAACAGUCAGACUUCUCUUUUUCAUACAACGAUGCUCAACUUCGCCCCCUGAGGCAAGUUUACUGAGUAAGCAGACAAAAAGAGAGAGAAAGCUUCGCUUGAUAUACAGGCUGCGUCCGAAAGCUUAGGCAGCUGACUUGCGCAUGAAUGUACCUCACAAAACUGAUUUUGGACAGACUUCCUGAGGCAGCAUAACAGUUUAAUGAUUUACAACAGAAUAGAGAGAGCUUUGGUGAUAACUAAGGCGAAUAUUUAAUUACUACAGUAGUAAUUUCUCACUAGAAAUGGCAUCAAAAGUGGAAAACGUUGUACAUUUACACUCAAACUGACCACCAAAUGCAACUUUUAGAUGCCAUCUUUAUUUUUUUUAGCUCAACUAUCAUAGAAUGGAACGCACAGGAUUGUGGGACAUUAAAGGCAGCAACGAAGGUAUCUCAGGAGACAGGAAGUGAAGCUAACUUUGGAUGUGGAUGUGGCUUUUAAAAAUCCAGAAGUAUUUUCUCGUUCAUUUUCUUCAUAUUUCAAAAAUAUACUCACUAUAGGUUCUAAGCAAUGAAAACCAACCAGUAUUUCAAUUAUUUUAGGAAGGACUCUGAAAUACUUCCAAACACUGCGAAUAACGUAAUUGGAAAUCGAAUCAGAAAUGAUGGUACAAUAUAAUUCUAUUGAUUUUGAAAGUAUACAAACAAUAUUUCUUUAAGAAAAUUUAAAAAUAUACAGAAAAUAUAUUCUAAAGUGUACAAUUACUCCUUUCACGAUUUUCAGCAGUGGAAUUUAAAUUAAAAAACAAGUUUAAAAAAAUAAAUAAAGCCUAAAUCUUCUAGAGGAGCAUAUGCUAUCGCUUAACAACCUCAGAGCUCCUAGAAGGUUUAUACAUUAUCGUUAAAAAGCAGUAUAGAGAAAAUGAAUGGGAUUUUAACUUCCGUAACCCAACUGUUGUGCUCUAUUACAGUGAUGAAUUGUGUCAGGAGUUCAAAAAGAAAGAAAUGAGUUCAAAGAAACCGCAGGCAGAGUAUCCAGAGUGGAAGGAGAACAGCUCCAUUCUCCUGUUCAGUUUUUACCGCUGUGGUUGAAGUCAGUGAGUGCUGUCUGUAAAGGUAGGAGUGGAAGAGGAGUUUGGGGACUUUCGGUGCAGUGGUCUGCCUGGGCUCCGAGCUGGUCAUGAUUGCUAAAAGCUGUGCAGGCAAACGGAAACUCAGGAUGUGGCUAGUAUUUGUG